UAUCUACUCCCUCGCCUAGAAUUACUUGUCGUAGAAAUGGAUGUAUCUAGACGUAUUUUUAGUUCUAGAUACAUACAUUUGUAUCCAUUUCCGCGACAAGUAAUUCGGGACGGAGGGAGUAUUAU
rfam:Triticum urartu cultivar G1812 contig380709, whole genome shotgun sequence.